AUGUAUGACUGUGUGGGCGCGCGCGCGCGCGCGCCCGUGUUGCGGGGGUUGAGAGUAAGUCAGCUUCCAGGCGAUCUGCUGUGUGGUGACUAUGCCUGCUCAAGCGAAACCCCCCUCUCUCUAGUGUUGCUUUGCUACAUAGCGCAGAUUUUCGUCUUUCUUUUGGCGCGCCCGUGCCUACUGGAACUAAAUACCAUAUCAAAGUAUAGUGGAAAGUGAACGGACUAAGCAGUCAUAGAGGUCUGGCAUAAGCAGGAUUCUAGGACUGACAGUGAGGAAGAGAGAAUGGACAUGGGUAAGGGUGGUUUUUGUUAUUUUGGACUAGAUGUGUGAAUUCAUCAUCAUCAAGAGCUCCUAUAAAAAACUCUUUCUAUCAGUGGAGGUCAGCACAUGCUCUACCAUUUACAGGGCUUAUAGGAAUUAAGUGACUUGAUUAGGAUCAAUGAUCCAGCUAUUAUGUGUCAGUGACAGACUUGAACUCAAGUCUUUCUAACUCUGGGGUAAAUACACCAUUUAUUAUAACAUGCUGUCACUCAGAAAGGUUAUUAGCAAGUGGCAAUUGACUCACCAUGAUAUCAAGUCUGCCAAGUUUCAUUUUGUAAAAAGCAUAAACUCAGGAGCUUGUCCUUUUGUUUACACUUGAGUAUUUGAUUAUGGUAUGGUUUUAGAUAGGUAUAACAUUCAAAAGAAAGAGAAUAAGUGAUGAGGAAAGGGUAACAUCAUCUAUUAAGGAUAUAUAAGGAAAUCCAACAACCAGAGGGAAAUAUAUGAUAGACAAUUUUGUGUGGACAUCAAAGGACAGAAAAUCCGAAGUGAUUCUUGGCUUUGAGAAUCCUAUACAUCACUUGGGGUGCAGGGAGAUGAAAUAGAAGAAGAAUGUAGAGAACAGACCCCAAGCCUGGCAGAGAAACAUGAUAUUAUAGUGAUGGAGAACUUCACUAUCCAUAUAUCUCUUGAAACUCUCUUUUUGACAAAAGCAAACUAAUAACUUCUUGAUUGAAGCAUAGCGCUGGGGGCACAGGUUGUUAUUUAGUCAUUUUUUUCAGUUUUGCAUGAUCAUGACUCUUUGGGGGAUAUUUUUAGCAGAGAUAUUGCAGGGGUUUGCCAUUUCUUUCUCCAGCUAAUUUUUAAAAUGAAGAAACAGGAUACAACAAGAUUAAAUGACUUACCUAAGAUCACAUAGCAACCAAGUGUCUGAGGCUGGAUUUGAAUUUAGAUUAUUCUGACUCUAGGUCUGGCACUCUAUCCACUGUGCCACCUAGCUACCCCAUAAUAAGUGGGCACAUAGUAUUUGUUUAAGAAAUACUGGUUCACUUGACUUAUCUGGUCUUAGUGAUAAUUUCAUCCUUUAAAAGGUGUAGGGACCAAUAAAAGGAAGUUCUAUCUUGAAUCUGAUUCUCA
rnacentral:lncRNA from 1 species